GUUCCGAUGGCCUAGUGGUUAGAACGUCCGUCUGGGAUGCUGCAGGUCUCGGGUUUGAACCCCGGCCGAAUCA